rnacentral:rRNA from 1 species
GACGAACGCUGGCGGCGUGCUUAACACAUGCAAGUCGAACGAAAAUACCAAGCUUGCUUGGUUGAUUAGUGGCGAACGGGUGAGUAACACGUGAGUAACCUGCCCCUUACUUUCCUGGAUAACUGCUCGAAAGGGUAGCUAAUACGGGAUAUUCUGACCAUCCUGCAUGGGUUGGUUUGGAAAGGUUGUUUUUCUGGUAAGGGAUGGGCUCGCGGCCUAUCAGCUUAUUGGUGGGGUGAUGGCCUACCAAGGCUUUGACGGGUAGCCGGCCUGAGAGGGUGGACGGUCACACUGGGACUGAGAUACGGCCCAGACUCCUACGGGAGGCAGCAGUGGGGAAUAUUGCACAAUGGGCGCAAGCCUGAUGCAGCGACGCCGCGUGAGGGAUGAAGGCCUUCGGGUUGUAAACCUCUUUCGUCAGGGAACAAGGCAUUGCCUUUUUUGGUGGUGUUGAGGGUACCUGGAUAAGAAGCGCCGGCUAACUACGUGCCAGCAGCCGCGGUAAUACGUAGGGCGCAAGCGUUGUCCGGAAUUAUUGGGCGUAAAGAGCUCGUAGGCGGCUGGUCGCGUCUGUCGUGAAAACUUCCGGCUCAACCGGGGGCUUGCGGUGGGUACGGGCCGGCUAGAGUGCGGUAGGGGUAACUGGAACUCCUGGUGUAGCGGUGGAAUGCGCAGAUAUCAGGAAGAACACCGAUGGCGAAGGCAGGUUACUGGGCCGUUACUGACGCUGAGGAGCGAAAGCGUGGGGAGCGAACAGG